GCCGAGAGGAGCGUGACUCAGCGGGAAGGCUGGAUAAAAGGCCCGGCGAGGUUCGGCUGCGUGUGAAGACGGCGUAGCACAGGUGACUGCUGUAGUAGCCAAGGAGCUUGAAGGAUCUGCUGGCCUGUUAUGGAGUUUCCAGACUUGGGCAAGCAUUGUUCAGAAAAAACUUGUAAACAGCUGGAUUUCCUUCCUUUAAAAUGUGAUGCAUGUGAGGAAGUUUUCUGUAAAAAUCACAUCACAUAUGACCAACACAAGUGUACCUCUUCAUAUAAGAAGGAUGUACAGGUUCCAGUAUGUCCUUUAUGUAACACUCCCAUCCCAGUGAGAAGAGGAGAGACGCCAGACAUUGUAGUUGGAGCACACAUGGACAGGGACUGCAAAUAUAAUCCUACUCAGCAGAAACAGAGGAUUUUCACAAACAAGUGCUUAAAAGAAGGUUGCAAAAGGAAAGAGAUGAUGAAGCUUGUUUGUAACCAGUGCCAUGGAAACUUCUGUAUAAAACAUCGGCAUCCUCUGGAUCAUGACUGCAAAGGGGGAGGUCGCUCCAUCUCCAAAGCUGGAUAUGCAGCUAUAAUGAGAGCAUCUGAAUCCAACUUCAGGCCAACUGGAUCAAAUAAGAUGUCCUCUAACUGGUAUCUUGAGCGCAACAGGUGCCAGUUUACACUCCUGGCAGUGCUCAGAUGUCAAGGAGAGGCAUAUAACAGUCCAAGACAUGGCUAAUCGCUACUGUGACAAAACAGUCUUUGCAUAGUGUAUCAAUUGUGACAGAGUUCCUCCUACCUUGAUGCUGAUGACUUGAAGGCCGUCCUAAUGGCUGGAUGAAACUCUCCUUUUAGUGUAAAUUUAUUGUCUAAAGUGUUAUGCAUAUUUUUCUACAGGACAAAUAAACUAAAUUACUUAAUCUCUCAACUUCCAGUAAAGUGCUAUUCCUUUUUGUAAAGGA